UUAAGCGACUAAGCGUACACGGUGGAUGCCCUGGCAGUCAGAGGCGAUGAAGGACGUGCUAAUCUGCGAUAAGCGUCGGUGAGGUGAUAUGAACCGUUAUAACCGGCGAUUUCCGAAUGGGGAAACCCAGUGUGUUUCGACACACUAUCAUUAACUGAAUCCAUAGGUUAAUGAGGCGAACCGGGGGAACUGAAACAUCUAAGUACCCCGAGGAAAAGAAAUCAACCGAGAUUCCCCCAGUAGCGGCGAGCGAACGGGGAGGAGCCCAGAGCCUGAAUCAGUGUGUGUGUUAGUGGAAGCGUCUGGAAAGGCGUGCGAUACAGGGUGACAGCCCCGUACACAAAAAUGCACAUAUUGUGAGCUCGAUGAGUAGGGCGGGACACGUGGUAUCCUGUCUGAAUAUGGGGGGACCAUCCUCCAAGGCUAAAUACUCCUGACUGACCGAUAGUGAACCAGUACCGUGAGGGAAAGGCGAAAAGAACCCCGGCGAGGGGAGUGAAAAAGAACCUGAAACCGUGUACGUACAAGCAGUGGGAGCCUCUUAAUGGGGUGACUGCGUACCUUUUGUAUAAUGGGUCAGCGACUUAUAUUCUGUAGCAAGGUUAACCGAAUAGGGGAGCCGAAGGGAAACCGAGUCUUAACUGGGCGUUAAGUUGCAGGGUAUAGACCCGAAACCCGGUGAUCUAGCCAUGGGCAGGUUGAAGGUUGGGUAACACUAACUGGAGGACCGAACCGACUAAUGUUGAAAAAUUAGCGGAUGACUUGUGGCUGGGGGUGAAAGGCCAAUCAAACCGGGAGAUAGCUGGUUCUCCCCGAAAGCUAUUUAGGUAGCGCCUCGUGAAUUCAUCUCCGGGGGUAGAGCACUGUUUCGGCAAGGGGGUCAUCCCGACUUACCAACCCGAUGCAAACUGCGAAUACCGGAGAAUGUUAUCACGGGAGACACACGGCGGGUGCUAACGUCCGUCGUGAAGAGGGAAACAACCCAGACCGCCAGCUAAGGUCCCAAAGUCAUGGUUAAGUGGGAAACGAUGUGGGAAGGCCCAGACAGCCAGGAUGUUGGCUUAGAAGCAGCCAUCAUUUAAAGAAAGCGUAAUAGCUCACUGGUCGAGUCGGCCUGCGCGGAAGAUGUAACGGGGCUAAACCAUGCACCGAAGCUGCGGCAGCGACACUAUGUGUUGUUGGGUAGGGGGGCGUUCUGUAAGCCUGUGAAGGUGGCCUGUGAGGGUUGCUGGAGGUAUCAGAAGUGCGAAUGCUGACAUAAGUAACGAUAAAGCGGGUGAAAAGCCCGCUCGCCGGAAGACCAAGGGUUCCUGUCCAACGUUAAUCGGGGCAGGGUGAGUCGACCCCUAAGGCGAGGCCGAAAGGCGUAGUCGAUGGGAAACAGGUUAAUAUUCCUGUACUUGGUGUUACUGCGAAGGGGGGACGGAGAAGGCUAUGUUGGCCGGGCGACGGUUGUCCCGGUUUAAGCGUGUAGGCUGGUUUUCCAGGCAAAUCCGGAAAACCAAGGCUGAGGCGUGAUGACGAGGCACUACGGUGCUGAAGCGACAAAUGCCCUGCUUCCAGGAAAAGCCUCUAAGCAUCAGGUAACAUCAAAUCGUACCCAAAACCGACACAGGUGGUCAGGUAGAGAAUACCAAGGCGCUUGAGAGAACUCGGGUGAAGGAACUAGGCAAAAUGGUGCCGUAACUUCGGGAGAAGGCACGCUGAUAUGUAGGUGAAGCGACUUGCUCGUGGAGCUGAAAUCAGUCGAAGAUACCAGCUGGCUGCAACUGUUUAUUAAAAACACAGCACUGUGCAAACACGAAAGUGGACGUAUACGGUGUGACGCCUGCCCGGUGCCGGAAGGUUAAUUGAUGGGGUUAGCGGCAACGCGAAGCUCUUGAUCGAAGCCCCGGUAAACGGCGGCCGUAACUAUAACGGUCCUAAGGUAGCGAAAUUCCUUGUCGGGUAAGUUCCGACCUGCACGAAUGGCGUAAUGAUGGCCAGGCUGUCUCCACCCGAGACUCAGUGAAAUUGAACUCGCUGUGAAGAUGCAGUGUACCCGCGGCAAGACGGAAAGACCCCGUGAACCUUUACUAUAGCUUGACACUGAACAUUGAGCCUUGAUGUGUAGGAUAGGUGGGAGGCUUUGAAGUGUGGACGCCAGUCUGCAUGGAGCCGACCUUGAAAUACCACCCUUUAAUGUUUGAUGUUCUAACGUUGGCCCGUAAUCCGGGUUGCGGACAGUGUCUGGUGGGUAGUUUGACUGGGGCGGUCUCCUCCUAAAGAGUAACGGAGGAGCACGAAGGUUGGCUAAUCCUGGUCGGACAUCAGGAGGUUAGUGCAAUGGCAUAAGCCAGCUUGACUGCGAGCGUGACGGCGCGAGCAGGUGCGAAAGCAGGUCAUAGUGAUCCGGUGGUUCUGAAUGGAAGGGCCAUCGCUCAACGGAUAAAAGGUACUCCGGGGAUAACAGGCUGAUACCGCCCAAGAGUUCAUAUCGACGGCGGUGUUUGGCACCUCGAUGUCGGCUCAUCACAUCCUGGGGCUGAAGUAGGUCCCAAGGGUAUGGCUGUUCGCCAUUUAAAGUGGUACGCGAGCUGGGUUUAGAACGUCGUGAGACAGUUCGGUCCCUAUCUGCCGUGGGCGCUGGAGAACUGAGGGGGGCUGCUCCUAGUACGAGAGGACCGGAGUGGACGCAUCACUGGUGUUCGGGUUGUCAUGCCAAUGGCACUGCCCGGUAGCUAAAUGCGGAAGAGAUAAGUGCUGAAAGCAUCUAAGCACGAAACUUGCCCCGAGAUGAGUUCUCCCUGACUCCUUGAGGGUCCUGAAGGAACGUUGAAGACGACGACGUUGAUAGGCCGGGUGUGUAAGCGCAGCGAUGCGUUGAGCUAACCGGUACUAAUGAACCGUGAGGCUUAACCUU
rnacentral:rRNA from 1 species